UACGUGAGGGGGCAAGCGUUGUCCGGAUUUAUUGGGCGUAAAGAGCGUGUAGGCGGUCAGGUAGGUCCGUUGUGAAAACUCGAGGCUCAACCUCGAGACGCCGAUGGAAACCAUCUGACUAGAGUCCGGAAGAGGAGAGUGGAAUUCCUGGUGUAGCGGUGAAAUGCGCAGAUAUCAGGAAGAACACCCGUGGCUAAGGCGGCUCUCUAGUACGGUACUGACGCUGAGACGCGAAAGCGUGGGGAGCGAACAGG
rnacentral:rRNA from 1 species